GACGGUGUAAAUAUGCCUCAUGACCUACGAACAGGUCGUGGAGCUCCUCGAAUGUGAGGGAUUUUGCUCGGGCUCGGAUUUGUGCAACAAUUUCACGGUAAUUGGACCCCAAGCCAUGGAGAAUAUAGAGAGUGAGAUCAUCAGCAGAGAUCGGAUGAUCAAUUAGGGCAAUUUCGUCUGCAAGAGGCUUAACCUUAUGAAGGUACUAUCUAAGGUUUAUAGACCCUAAGAAUUCCAAAGAAUUGGUGGACAAGGAAAAAGAAAUGUAUUGGAGCCCAGUUGAUGUGUAUAUUGGUGCUGCUGAACAUGCUGUACUUCGUUUAUUGUAUGCUAGAUUCUGGCACAAGGUUUGUACUCCAUAUUAGGCCGUUCAAUAAAUGGGGAAGCCUGGAGCUUGUAGUUUUUCCUAUUAGCUCAUGCACCUUUUGUUGAAUUGUUUCACCUGUUGUUAUUGUCACUCUCGCCAUUUGAACUUUUUUUUUUUUUGGGUAUAA